CCUACGGGAUGCAGCAGUGAGGAAUAUUGGUCAAUGGCCGAUAGGCUGAACCAGCCAAGUCGCGUGAGGGCAGACGGCCCUACGGGUUGUACACCUCUUUUGUCGGGGAGCAAAGCGAACCACGUGUGGUUCAUUGAGAGUACCCGAAGAAAAAGCAUCGGCUAACUCCGUGCCAGCAGCCGCGGUAAUACGGAGGAUGCGAGCGUUAUCCGGAUUUAUUGGGUUUAAAGGGUGCGCAGGCGGAGGUGCAAGUCAGCGGUCAAAUUGCGGUGCUCAACCCCGUACUGCCGUUGAAACUGCAUCCCUUGAGUGCGCGAGAAGUAUGCGGAAUGCGUGGUGUAGCGGUGAAAUGCAUAGAUAUCACGCAGAACUCCGAUUGCGAAGGCAGCAUACCGGCGCGCAACUGACGCUCAUGCACGAAAGCGUGGGUAUCGAACAGGAUUAGAUACCCGGGUAGUC
rnacentral:rRNA from 1 species